rnacentral:lncRNA from 1 species
UACAUUAGCAAAUUGCAACGCGAACCCGGUGCCCCAAGUUCAUCCAACAUCACUGUAACAUGCACUACAGAAAGUACAACUCUAUUUUGGAGAUGGUACUCAUUGCGUCUCUAUGACCGGAAAAAGAAUAAGCCAAAAAAUUGAUGAAUGUAUUUAAUACAAGGGCCACGCAAAUAGAGGUCCUUGGAUUUUCUGGGGUCGUAUGCAUCUAAGUGAUUAACACAAAGUUCAUCAUAAAUAGUGGUUGGGUCGAAUUCUUCACAGAAAUCACAGUACAGGUGUUCUACUUCCCAUUCCGAGAAUCCCAGGGCAUCAUUGAAUUGAGCAAUAGAGAGAUGAAAAUGCGUUCCCUAGAGAUGGUAGUAGAUGAGAUUUGGGGUGUGAAGGAUUAACUUAGGAAGCUUGUAAAACUAGAGGGUGGUGUAAAAUUCCUAACCAGUUUGCAUAAAUGGGUACAUCCAUAGAAAAAAUGUUGGCCCAGCCAAUGGCAUAAUCAGUUACAAAACGGUCGUUCUGAUGAUGAGAGUGUCGAGAUUGGGGUCAUGAGCGGAUUUACCUAGAAUAAUGGGUAGAUUGUAGAUUUUCUCAUACCGUUCUUUCUCUAAAUCAUAUUUGAAGAUGAGAUGUCUACAGAGGUUUAUUUCUAUUAGUUGGUGGAUGGGUUCACCUCGUCGGACCCGGGCCUUCUUUGGUAUUCGUUCAAGAGUUCCUUCUUCUUCAACGGCUGCACUAGUAGUAGGUGGUGGAGGGUCUUGGGAUUCAGUUGGUUGACUCGAUCUGGCAUCUAGAGUGGGGGUACGGGGUGAUAGGGAGUCAGAAACAUCUAUAAUGGGGCUUCAAGUUGGUGAGCUGGGGGGUAGUGGAGCUAUUAUAAUUGGUUGGUGAAGUAGAGGAAGUGUAGAAGAAGAGAGAGAGGGGAAUUAGGAUUUGAAAG